UACAGAGGGGCGAGCGUUGUUCGGAAUUACUGGGCGUAAAGGGCGCGUAGGCGGCCAACUAAGUCAGACGUGAAAUCCCUCGGCUCAACCGGGAACUGCGUCUGAUACUGGAUGGCUUGAAUUCGGGAGAGGGAUGCGGAAUUCCAGGUGUAGCGGUGAAAUGCGUAGAUAUCUGGAGGAACACCGGUGGCGAAGGCGGCAUCCUGGACCAACACUGACGCUGAGGAGCGAAAAGCCAGGGGAGCAAACGGG
rnacentral:rRNA from 1 species